UACGUAGGGUGCGAGCGUUAAUCGGAAUUACUGGGCGUAAAGCGUGCGCAGGCGGUUCGCUAAGACCGAUGUGAAAUCCCCGGGCUUAACCUGGGAAUCGUGCAUUGUGACUGCACGUAGAGUGUGCAGAGGGGGGUAGAAUUCCACGUGUGAGCAGUGAAAUGCGUAGAUAUGUGGAGGAAUACCGAUGGCGAAGGCAGCCCCCUGGGACUAACACUGACGCUCAUGCACGAAAGCGUGGGGAGCAAACAGG
rnacentral:rRNA from 1 species